UGUGUAUUCAGUUCUUUUUCAUACUGUUUGUGUAUGUAAAGGGCUCCAGAGGAGCUUGCAAGCAGCGCAGGAGAUAUACAUGCAGUUGCAUUGCAGUCACUAAAUAAUCGGCUGGGAUUAUUUGUUUGUUUGUAUGUGCAGAUGUGCAGAGUAAUAAAGACCAGAGGAGAGAAAGAGA